UACGUAGGGCGCAAGCGUUGUCCGGAAUUAUUGGGCGUAAAGAGCUCGUAGGCGGCUUGUCACGUCGGGUGUGAAAGCCCGGGGCUUAACCCCGGGUCUGCAUUCGAUACGGGCUAGCUAGAGUGUGGUAGGGGAGAUCGGAAUUCCUGGUGUAGCGGUGAAAUGCGCAGAUAUCAGGAGGAACACCGGUGGCGAAGGCGGAUCUCUGGGCCAUUACUGACACUGAGAAACGAAAGCUUGGGUAGCGAACGGG
rnacentral:rRNA from 1 species